rnacentral:miRNA from 2 species
AGGAUACAUUCAGUAUACGUAUA